GGAAAUCUGCACGUUGGGCUCUGUCCGGGGGGCCGCCCGAAAGGGCCGUCCCUACCGGGACCAUCCGCUCUCUCG
rnacentral:misc_RNA from 1 species